rnacentral:rRNA from 1 species
UACGUAGGGUGCGAGCGUUAAUCGGAAUUACUGGGCGUAAAGCGUGCGCAGGCGGCGCGUUAAGACAGGUGUGAAAGCCCCGAGCUUAACUUGGGAAUUGCGCUUGUGACUGGCGUGCUGGAGUGUGGCAGAGGGAGGUGGAAUUCCACGUGUAGCAGUGAAAUGCGUAGAGAUGAUGGAGGAACACCGAUGGCGAAGGCAGCCUCCUGGGCCAGCACUGACGCUCAUGCACGAAAGCGUGGGGAGCAAACGGG